AGCAAUCUAACGAUUCAGGCUCAUAUUUACAACACAUUUAUAAAGAUAUCAGCGCGUAUUUUGUCAUUCCAUCAUUCUGUCAUUUUAUCAUUCGACGAAAAAUGACAAUAGAAAGACGAAAACUUGCACUAAUAUCUUUAGAAGUGCGUUUUGAAUAUUGGCAGAGUCGUAGUCAUAGGUAUGUCUGGACUACACAGAUAAUUCAAGCUUAAAGCCAUAAGAAAUAGAUCAAUUACAGUCGAAUGUGAGAAGCAUAAUUGACUAUAAUUAAUCAAUUUCUUACGGAUUAAGGCUUCAAUCAUCUAUUGUAGAUCGAAACAAAGAGACUGAGACUGAGAGCGAGACUGAGUAUUAACUAUAAAUAAUAGAUCAGAAUUUUGGAAACGCCGACCGAAAAAAAUGCAAGCAUGCAAAAGCAAGUCUACAAAUUCUAAAGCAGAGCGUGAACGAGGAAUCUGCGAGAGCGCGCUGUUUUGAUCAUAUCCGAUUUAGAAUUAUAACGUGACGAAACGCGACACUAGAAUACUAUAAAAAUAAAGCGGUCGUUAAAUCAUCGAGAGCGAGCAGUCACAAUACAGGGCAGUUAUACUUCGUCACGGCCAGUCGUUAUCAGUAAUAGCGAGAUUCACACGAAACAUUGUCAAGAAGUCAUACCAAUAAAUCAGCUACUUAAUAAAAGCUACAUUUUGGUGGCAGCGAUGGGAUUGUCGACACUAUCCCCAUGAUUCAUACAAUCUGAGAGGAUAAUCGCUAACCGAAUCAGCAGAAAUCGAGAACCUGUAGUAUUAGCCCCAUAGCUGCAGGCAGAAGAGGAACUUUCUCGAAUUAUAAGACUUGUGGAAAACGGACGGAGAAGGAUCCGUUAGAAAAUAAUAAGCCUACAAUCGAAAGAGUACGAUAAGAAUAACUGAGUGCCGACAAUCCUACAGCUAUCAGCGGUAGCAGAGCAGCGAGCCAGCAGCGCCCAAGUACAUCGACACCAGUCGACAAGGACACUCGGUAGAGCAGCCAGCGAGUACAUAUCAGCGACACCAGAGAAGGCACCGACCUACGACAACAACAAAGCAGCAUGAAGCUAGCAGCGAUAUUGUAAGUGAAAAAAUCAUAUCGCAGUAAAAAUUGUAUAAGCAAGUGAUAGGAUUGAUGUCGGACGGCGAAAUAAAUAGAAACCGACCCUUUAGAAAUAUAUCGUGGUUACACGGCGAGCGAACACAAAGAACGCGAAGUCCUGUCCUCCCCGUGCGUAUAGUCCAAGAAGCCGUACGCGAUAUCCGCGAUAGCGUGCGUCGAAAUUUAGAAACACGACACUC